rnacentral:siRNA from 1 species
AUAACUCGUAGUAGUAGUAUA